UUUUCAGGGAGACCGAGUGAGACAAUCAGACCCAACUAAAUAACUGAUUGAUUUCACCAAUCCCAGGUCGGUCAAGGAAAAAGUAGAUUGGCUUUCAAACUGAUUUCGGUUCGGGAAAUGGGCUAUUAGCUCAGGUGGUUAGAGCGCACCCCUGAUAAGGGUGAGGUCCCUGGUUCGAGUCCAGGAUGGCCCACCUGUUCGGUUCAGGAAGAGGGGGUAUAGCUCAGCUGGUAGAGCGCUGCCUUUGCAAGGCAGAUGUCAGCGGUUCGAGUCCGCUUACCUCCAUACUUCCCAAAGAAGUGAGCAGGUCAAGCCCCAGAGCCGAAAAAAGCAACAAAAAGCGUCCAGCACCUGUAGAAGUUAAAAGAAAAAACUUACUCAGACUGCUGAACGUAAACGUUCAGUCAGAACCUUGAAAACUGCAUAGCGAGAGAAAAAGUCAGUUAGUAAUGCACAAAGCCAAAAAAGGCGUUUGUGUCUUACACAGACAAAAACCAAAAAUAGAU
rnacentral:tRNA from 1 species